rnacentral:rRNA from 1 species
GACGAACGCUGGCGGCGUGCCUAAUACAUGCAAGUCGAACGCAGUGGGGACGGGUGAGUAACACGUGGGUAACCUCCCAUCAGAGGGGAUAACACUUGGAAACAGGUGCUAAACCGAUACUGAUGGAUGGACCAGCGGUGCAUUAGCUAGUUGGUGAGGUAACGGCCCACCAAGGCCACGAUGCAUAGCCGACCUGGGAGGGUGACCGGCCCAACUGGGACUGGGACACGGCCCGGAUUCCUACGGGAGGCAGCAGUGGGGAAUUUGCGGCAAUGGAGUAAAGUCUGACCGAGCAACGCCGCGUGAGUUAAGAGGGUUUUCGGAUCGUAAAACUCUGUUGUUAGAGAAGCGGUAUCUAACCAGAAAGCCACGGCUAACUACGUGCCAGCAGCCGCGGUAAUAC